rnacentral:rRNA from 1 species
UACGUAGGGCGCAAGCGUUGUCCGGAAUUAUUGGGCGUAAAGCGCGCGCAGGCGGCCGGUUAAGUCAGGUGUGAAAGGCUGCGGCUCAACCGCAGAGCGGCACCUGAAACUGGUCGGCUUGAGUGCAGGAGAGGGGAGCGGAAUUCCCGGUGUAGCGGUGGAAUGCGUAGAGAUCGGGAGGAACACCAGUGGCGAAGGCGGCUCUCUGGCCUGUAACUGACGCUGAGGCGCGAAAGCGUGGGGAGCAAACAGG